AUGAUUCUAGGACCUGGAAUCAUACCAGCCGAUGGGUGGUGGUUUAUCGCUCGUUCAGCUGACGGCGGUCAUUUGAUGCCCCUUCGCACGUACCAAAUUGACCAAACCAUUACAUCAAACCACAUGCAGUACAAUGCCUGGGGCGUUCGUGACAUUGAUGGCUAUGGUUGCUUCGUGUUCGAGAAAGAUCCCAGCUCUUACCAUAUAACUGGAAUUAACCGAUGCAAGUCGAAGAAGGAUUGGUCGGUGCUGCCGGCUGGCAUCAAGUUCAAUCCCACGGAUCAGGAGCUGAUCGAGCACCUUGAGGCCAAAGUGACUGCUGACAGCGUGAGAUCUCACCCUCUCAUUGAUUUGUUCAUACCAACCAUCGACAGGGAGCACGACAUAUGCUACACCCAUCUUGAGAAACUUCUAGGUAUCACACUAAGUGGCCUAAGCAAGCAUUUCUUCCAGCGCAAUUCCAGGGCGUUCAAAAGGGGCACGUGGACGCGUCGCAAGAUACAGUCGGAGUGCGGCAUGCAUGCGAUGUGGCACAACACCUGCAAUACCUUGACGGUGAUGGUCAACGGCCGGCAGAUGGGCAUCAAAAAGGUUCUGGUGCUGCACACCAACAAGAACUUCGACCAGCAGAGGACCAACUGGGUGAUGCACCAGUACCACCUCGGGGACCUGGAGCAAGAGAAGGAGCGGGAGCUGGUCCUCUGCAAGAUUUUCUACAAGACGAACACUAGGGCCAGGAGUAAAAAGAUUAUAAGUUGGUUUGAUAUUGGUACUUGUACUACCUUGUCGUCGGCAAGUUGGACGAGCAAGUUUCAACUGGGCUGUAGACUGCCCAGGCUUGGUUUUGUUUUUAACAUGCCCAACCCAUGA
rnacentral:rRNA from 1 species